CUCGCGAGGGUUUAUUAUUAUACCUGGUGCGCAAGAAAUGAUAGUUUCGCUACAUGGCCCUGGUCUGCCACGUCAAUGUGGACCGAUGGACGCAUCUACCUUAAUUAGAGGUAGAGAUUGCAAGGGCAAAAUUGAUGGAGGGAGUGAAACUGAGAGUCAAGGGUGACGUGGUGGGCGUGGUCUAGGGGAUAUUUCUCCAUAAAAUCGGGAAAAGUCCACGGAACCGAACCGACAAGGACUCGAGCUCGUUUGCCGACUCGUAUUGUGGUUCGGGUUAUACACCGUUAACCCGAAAAAACCUUAACCCAAGCCUAAGUUUAGCUAGACUCUAAUCUCACCACCUUCUUUUUCUUUUUCUUUUUUUUCUUUUUCUUUUUUUUUAAAAGGUCUAUGAUACUCUCUGUUUUUCUCACUUUUAUGUAUGAUUUGAACCGAAAAUCACCAUUUGCACAUUAAAAAAUUAAAAUAAUUAUAUUAUUUAUCCAUUUGAUUUUGACAAUUCAUGCAGAAUUCUGUUAAUUUUUUGUAAUAAUUGUUUGCACUGAUUGUUAAACAAUUUUUAGUAUAUGCAGAAUCGAUCUGACAAAAAAGGUGUGAGAAAACAAUGUAAGAGGGAAAAAAAAAUAUGCCGAAAUUGAGAUUGUCAAUUCUUAGUCAAAUCAAGUAGUCUUGUCAAAAUUAGUAUGCUAUUUUUCCUUAAAAAAAAGUUAUUUAGUCUUACGGAAAAGAUAAGGACCGAAGAAUUGAAUUAAAAAUCCUUCUUGCAUCCAACUAGACCAAUUCUUUGUUUUUGAAGCAUGCAAAUGAGAAACUAAUUAACAAACAUAUAAAUGCUUUAUAUUUUUUGGACAUUAAUAUAUUCCAUUAUAAUUAAUAUAUAUAUAUAUAUAUAUAUAUAUAUAUAUAUAGAGUCCGGUUACUAUACUAUUAAUAGCACGAAACGCUUGAUGUUACUAAGUUUUCCACCGUUAGAUCUAUCCUUUUGAUUAUUUUCACCCGCACAUCUUUUAAUCAAAUGGCCAAAAACUUGGUAACACCAAUGACUUUGUGUUAUUAAUAGUAUAGUAGUCUAGUUCUAUAUAUAUAUAUAGAGAGAGAGAGAGAGUCCGGCUGAGAUAUUAUCGAUAGCACCAAGAACUUGUUGCUAUCGAGAUUUUCACCGUUAGAUUUAAUUAUUUGAUUAUUUUUACCUGUUAAAUUAUACUAUUCAACCAACCACUCACUCAAUCCUAGGGGCCCACAUCAUCUUAACCGCACAUUUCUCAAUCCAAGGGCUAAAAAAUUAUUAGUACCAAUAGCUUGGUGCUAUUGAUAGUAUUUCAGCCUAAUUCUAUAUAUAUAUAUAUAUAUAGAGUGGGCUGGUAUGCUUCUGGAAGCACGGAGCUCUCCGUGCUUCCAAGUUGUUUUCGAUGUUCGGACUUUCGAAUCGACGAUCGGCUCCGUUAGAGUUGAUCUAGAGUAUUUGAAGUACCUAGAAAAUAAAUUUCGCGAUUUUUCGAUAUGAUUUGCCUGGUGNGGGAACUACUCACACCCUCUCCUCCACGCGAAGCAUAACAAAGCCUAAUCGAAAAGAGCACAAACAAUUAGGGAUUUGAGGUGCCAAAUAUAUGAGGCGAUCGCACGCUUCGCACAAUGCGUCGCUGGGAAAACGCUGAGGCGAAGAAGAAGAAGAAGAAGAAGAGUAUGGGGGGCAAAUGGAGAGUUACGGCACAAACAAAAAGCAUAUGCUCGCGAGGGUUUAUUAUUAUACCUGGUGCGCAAGAAAUGAUAGUUUCGCUACAUGGCCCUGGUCUGCCACGUCAAUGUGGACCGAUGGACGCAUCUACCUUAAUUAGAGGUAGAGAUUUCAAGGGCAAAAUUGAUGAAGGGAGUGAAACUGAGAGUCAAGGAUGACGUGGUGCGCGUGGUCUAGGGGAUAUUUCUCCAGAAAAUCGGGAAAGUCCACGGAACCGAACCGACAAGGACUCGAGCUCGUUUGCCGACUCGUAUUGUGGUUCAGGUUAUACUCCGUUAACCCGAAAAAACCUUAACCCAAGCCUAAGUUUAGCUAGACUCUAAUCUCACCAGCUUUUUUUUCUUUUUCUUUUUCUUUUUCUUUUUUUUAAAAGGUCUAUAAUACUCUCUGUUUUUCUCACUUUUAUGUAUGAUUUGAACCGAAAAUCACCAUUUGCACAUUAAAAAAUUAAAAUAAUUAUAUUAUUUAUCCAUUUGAUUUUGACAAUUCAUGCAGAAUUCUGUUAAUUUUUUGUAAUAAUUGUUUGC
rnacentral:lncRNA from 1 species